rnacentral:rRNA from 1 species
AUUGAACGCUGGCGGCAGGCCUAACACCUGCAAGUCGAACGAGUGGCGGACGGGUGAGUAAUGUCUGGGAAACUGCCUGAUGGAGGGGGAUAACUACUGGAAACGGUAGCUAAUACCGCAUACCAUCGGAUGUGCCCAGAUGGGAUUAGCUAGUAGGUGGGGUAAAGGCUCACCUAGGCGACGAUCCCUAGCUGGUCUGAGAGGAUGACCAGCCACACUGGAACUGAGACACGGUCCAGACUCCGACGGGAGGGAGGAGGGGGGAAUAGUGCGCAAUGGGGGCAAGACUGAUGCAGCCAUGCCGCGUGUAUGAAGAAGGCCGUCGGGUUGUAAAGUACUUUCAGCGGGGAGGCGUUACCCGCAGAAGAAGCACCGGCUAACUCCGUGCCAGCGGCCGCGGUAAUUC